GAUUAGUUGAUUGUGGCACCGUGUCAAAGUGGAUUCUGAAAAAUAGUGCAGAAUCUGAAAACAUGAACUGGAUACUUGCUAACUCAAAGUCAUGUCCAAAGUGCAAGUGACCAAUUG